AUACGGAGGGUGCGAGCGUUAAUCGGAAUUACUGGGCGUAAAGGGUCCGUAGGCGGUCUGCUUAGUCUGAUGUGAAAGCCCCGGGCUUAACCUGGGAAUGGCAUUGGAUACUGGCGGACUAGAGUCUGGUAGAGGGUGGUGGAAUUCCCGGUGUAGCGGUGAAAUGCGUAGAUAUCAGGAUGAACACCAGUGGCGAAGGCGGCCACCUGGACCAAGACUGACGCUGAGGGACGAAAGCGUGGGGAGCAAACAGGAUUAGAAACCCUAGUAGUCC
rnacentral:rRNA from 1 species